GACGAACGCUGGCGGCGUGCCUAAUACAUGCAAGUCGAGCGAAUGAUGAGAAGCUUGCUUCUCUGAUUUAGCGGCGGACGGGUGAGUAACACGUGGGCAACCUGCCCUGUAGACUGGGAUAACUUCGGGAAACCGGAGCUAAUACCGGAUAAUUCUUUUAGCCUCAUGGCUUUAAGCUAAAAGGCGCUUCGGCGUCACUACAGGAUGGGCCCGCGGUGCAUUAGCUAGUUGGUGGGGUAACGGCCUACCAAGGCAACGAUGCAUAGCCGACCUGAGAGGGUGAUCGGCCACAUUGGGACUGAGACACGGCCCAAACUCCUACGGGAGGCAGCAGUAGGGAAUCUUCCACAAUGGACGAAAGUCUGAUGGAGCAACGCCGCGUGAGUGAUGAAGGUUUUCGGAUCGUAAAACUCUGUUGUAAGGGAAGAACAAGUGCGUUAGGUAAUGAACGCACCUUGACGGUACCUUAUUAGAAAGCCACGGCUAACUACGUGCCAGCCGCCGCAGUAA
rnacentral:rRNA from 1 species